CCCUGGGUGGUGGCGUAGCCUCUAGGACUGUCUGAGCUAGUCUGUGUCCACGCCCGUAUCUGUUCAAACACCUGUCGGCUUGUCACACAGCUAGUCAGACUCCCUCUCUCUCUCCGUUCACACACAGACCUAGCAAUCUUUACCUAUACUUUUGUCUCUCACCUGCUCUCACUCUACCUGUGUGGGAUUCUCUACGGUUUGGGAGACCGCCUGUGGAUACAGUAUCUAGUGAAAGGAGCCAGUGGAGGAAUCAUAGGAACCAGAUUGGGAGCCUGUGGAGGAAUCAUAGGAACCAGUUUGGGAGCCAGCGGAGGAAUCAUAGGAACCAGAUUGGGAGCCAGCGGAGGAAUCAUAGGAACCAGAUUACAAACGACCCGACUAUGUCAAAAGGUGUGGUAGUAGGUCCAUACCAAGGGGAUGAGGUGAUGGAUACCAUGUUUAUUGCACCAUAGUUCCAUCCAUUCCUGAGGUGGGAUCAGUGUGAAGUAUGU